rnacentral:tRNA from 1 species
CCUGAAGAGGCUCUGUGGUUGAGCGACCGGCUUCGGACCGGUAGGGCGCAGGUUCGAUUCCUGCCUUCAGGU